rnacentral:lncRNA from 10 species
GGAGUUAACGUGUGUUUCUUUUGUAGCAUUAACAACAGUGUCUUCAGUGUUCGCUUUUUCAGAACUACAGCUGUAUGCAAGGAUGACUUGGUUACAGUCAAAACCCCAGCGUUUGCAGAAUCUGUCACAGAGGGAGAUGUCAGGUGGGAGAAAGGUAAGAUUUAGUUUCCUAUUUUUUUUUUUUUUUUUUUUGAGACAGAGUCUUGCUCUGUUCCCAGCCUGGAGUGCAGUGGUAUGAUCUCGGCUCACUGCAGCCUCUGCCUCCCAGGUUCAAGUGAUUCUCCUGCCUCAGCCUCCCGAAUAGCUGGGAUUACAGGUGCCCACCACCAUGCCUGGCUAAGUUUUUUGUAUUUUUAGUAGAGACAGGGUUUCACCAUGUUGGUCAGGCUGGUCUCAAACUCCUGACCUCAGGUGAUCUGCCCACCUCAGCCUGCCACAAAGUGUUGGGAUUACAGGCCUGAGCCACUGCGUGAG